UACAGAGGUCCCAAGCGUUAUUCGGAUUCAUUGGGCGUAAAGGGUGCGUAGGCGGCGCGGUAAGUCGGGUGUGAAAUCUUGGAGCUUAACUCCGAAACUGCAUUCGAUACUGCCGUGCUUGAGGACUGGAGAGGAGACUGGAAUUUACGGUGUAGCGGUGAAAUGCGUAGAUAUCGUAAGGAAGACCAGUGGCGAAGGCGGGUCUCUGGACAGUUCCUGACGCUGAGGCACGAAGGCCAGGGGAGCAAACGGG
rnacentral:rRNA from 1 species